UACCAAUGGUGAAUCUCUUUAUAGAUCUUGUGCACAAGGCGAGGUCUAUGACUCUGAAAUAUGUGAAUAUAUUAGCUACAAUAAAUACGGUUCAUCGGAAACUAACUCUCCCCAGUCUACUGGCGCCCCAACAGAUAAUCCUACCCAACCCACAGACGUUCCAACAGAUAAUCCUACCCAGCCUACUGAUGUUUUAACAGACAUUCCUACCCAAC
rnacentral:sRNA from 1 species